GAUGAACGCUAGCGGGAGGCUUAACACAUGCAAGUCGAGGGGCAGCACGAGGUAGCAAUACUUUGGUGGCGACCGGCGCACGGGUGAGUAACGCGUAUGCAACCUACCCUGUACAGGGGGAUAACCCGGAGAAAUUCGGACUAAUACCCCAUAAAGAUAUGAGAAGGCAUCUUUUUAUAUUUAAAGUUCCGACGGUACGGGAUGGGCAUGCGUGACAUUAGCUAGUUGGUAGGGUAACGGCCUACCAAGGCUUCGAUGUCUAGGGGUCCUGAGAGGGUGAUCCCCCACACUGGUACUGAGACACGGACCAGACUCCUACGGGAGGCAGCAGUGAGGAAUAUUGGUCAAUGGGCGCAAGCCUGAACCAGCCAUCCCGCGUGAAGGAAGAAGGCGCUAUGCGUCGUAAACUUCUUUUCCAGGGGAAGAAAACCAGAUACGUGUAUCGGCUUGCCGGUACCCUGGGAAUAAGCAUCGGCUAACUCCGUGCCAGCAGCCGCGGUAAUACGGAGGAUGCGAGCGUUAUCCGGAUUUAUUGGGUUUAAAGGGUGCGUAGGCGGACAAAUAAGUCAGUGGUGAAAACCUGCAGCUUAACUGUAGAAUUGCCAUUGAUACUGUUAGUCUUGAGUACGGUCAAGGUAGGCGGAAUGUGUAAUGUAGCGGUGAAAUGCUUAGAUAUUACACAGAACACCGAUUGCGAAAGGCAGCUUACUGGACCCAUUACUGACGCUGAUGCACGAAAGCGUGGGAGCGAACAGGAUUAGAUACCCUGGUAGUCCACGCCGUAAACGUUGUGAACUUGAUGUGGGGGGAUUUAGUCCCCUCCGUAUCGAAGCUAACGCGAUAAGUUCACCGCCUGGGGACUACGGCCGCAAGGCUAAAACUCAAAGGAAUUGACGGGGGCCCGCACAAGCGGUGGAGCAUGUGGCUUAAUUCGAGGCAACGCGAAGAACCUUACCUGGGCUUGAAAUAUAUUUGACCGCCGGUGAAAGCCGGUUUCUCUUCGGAGCAGAUAUACAGGUGCUGCAUGGCUGUCGUCAGCUCGUGCCGUGAGGUGUUCGGUUAAGUCCGGCAACGAGCGCAACCCGUGUCAUUAGUUGCCAGCAGGUAAAGCUGGGCACUCUAGUGAGACUGCCCGUGUUAAGCGGGAGGAAGGCGCGGAUGACGUCAAGUCAGUAUGGCCCUUAUGUCCAGGGCUGCACACGUGCUACAAUGGCCGGUACAAUGGGAUGCAAUAUCGCGAGAUGGAGCUGAUCCACAAAACCGGUCCUAGUUCGGAUUGAAGUCUGCAACUCGACUUCAUGAAGCUGGAAUCGCUAGUAAAGGCGUAUCAGCUACGACGCCUUGAAUACGUUCCCGGGCCUUGUACACACCGCCCGUCACAUCAUGGGAGCUGAUUGCACCCGAAGUCGUUGACCCAACCUUCACAGGAGGGAGACGCCUAAGGUGUGGUUAGUGACUGGGAUGA
rnacentral:rRNA from 1 species